UACGUAGGGUGCGAGCGUUGUCCGGAAUUAUUGGGCGUAAAGAGCUCGUAGGCGGUGUGUCACGUCGGCCGUGAAAACCUGCAGCUUAACUGUGGGCGUGCGGUCGAUACGGGCAUCACUGGAGUUCGGCAGGGGAGACUGGAAUUCCUGGUGUAGCGGUGAAAUGCGCAGAUAUCAGGAGGAACACCGGUGGCAAAGGCGGGUCUCUGGGCCGAUACUGACGCUGAGGAGCGAAAGCGUGGGGAGCAAACAGG
rnacentral:rRNA from 1 species